AGAGCGAACGCUGGCGGCAGGCCUAACACAUGCAAGUCGAGCGCCCGUAGCAAUACGGGAGCGGCAGACGGGAUAGUAACACGUGGGAACGCGCCCUUCGGUUCGGAAUAACUCAGGGAAACUUGAGCUAAUACCGAAUACGCCCUUACGGGGAAAGAUUUAUUGCCGAAGGAACGGCCCGCGUCCGAUUAGCUAGUUGGUGAGGUAAUGGCUCACCAAGGCGACGAUCGGUAGCUGGUCUGAGAGGAUGACCAGCAUCACUGGGACUGAGACACGGCCCAGACUCCUACGGGAGGCAGCAGUGGGGAAUAUUGGACAAUGGGCGCAAGCCUGAUCCAGCCAUGCCGCGUGGAUGAUGAAGGCCUUAGGGUUGUAAAGUCCUUUUAACGGGGAAGAUAAUGACGGUACCCGUAGAAUAAGCCCCGGCUAACUUCGUGCCAGCAGCCGC
rnacentral:rRNA from 1 species